GAUGAACGCUGGCGGCGUGCCUAAUACAUGCAAGUCGAGCGAACAGACGAGGAGCUUGCUCCUCUGACGUUAGCGGCGGACGGGUGAGUAACACGUGGAUAACCUACCUAUAAGACUGGGAUAACUUCGGGAAACCGGAGCUAAUACCGGAUAAUAUAUUGAACCGCAUGGUUCAAUAGUGAAAGACGGUUUUGCUGUCACUUAUAGAUGGAUCCGCGCCGCACUAGCUAGUUGGUAAGGUAACGGCUUACCAAGGCGACGAUGCGUAGCCGACCUGAGAGGGUGAUCGGCCACACUGGAACUGAGACACGGUCCAGACUCCUACGGGAGGCAACAGUAGGGAAUCUUCCGCAAUGGGCGAAAGCCUGACGGAGCAACGCCGCGUGAGUGAUGAAGGUCUUCGGAUCGUAAAACUCUGUUAUUAGGGAAGAACAAAUGUGUAAGUAACUAUGCACGUCUUGACGGUACCUAAUCAGAAAGCCACGGCUAACUACGUG
rnacentral:rRNA from 1 species